rnacentral:lncRNA from 1 species
ACUUGAAGUCACUGUAUUUAGUCACUACUGGAUACAUAGUGUGCAAAGAUCAACACUAAACUUAUGAAAUAUAUUUUGAGAAAUCAUUUCUAACAAGUGGUAAUUAAAGCCAAAGGAAAGGAUAAAAUCUCCCAAGGAUAUAUAAUAAAAAGAAAACCAAAGGCAAGAUGUAGGUAAAUGUCCAUAUUAAAGAGUUCAGAAGAUUUCCAAAUGAAGAAAUAAAGGUGACCUUGAAGCAAAAAUUAUAGAAGCAUCAAUUGGCAAGUUCACCAGCAUCCAGCAAAGUAUGAAAAGGGCAGAACUGUGUGCUGUGUGUUCCCGAAACAAGCUGAGACUUAUUUUGUUUCUGCAGUUGCUCUUCAUUUCUGCUUUCCCCAUUGUGUUUUAUGCAUAUGCCUCCCAUUUAUGUUCCUGCCUUUCCAUGCCGAAGUCCAAGGAACACCGUCCCUGCUGACGUGCACACCCGGGCCGAUUUACGGAAUGGAACUGGCAUCACUCCUCCAUGUUUUCACUCACUGCAGGGGUGAGGCACACUGCCAAUUCUGCUACUUCCAGUGUUAGAAGAAUGACAGGAAAGCAAGAUGAAAAAACAGAAAAAAAAUUAGAAGAGGUUCUGAUUACAAGUGUGGCUUUCAGCACAGUGAGAGGAGAAACACAAAUAAAUGACCUGAGUGAUUUCACUGUUAACAUGCACAUCUCACUCACAUAUUCCCAGAUUUUUACAUCUACUAAUAUCUUGCCUGGUGUAUUCAGAUGAUGCC